rnacentral:rRNA from 1 species
ANGGAGUCGUCAUUCUGUUGUUCNGGAUUCACUGCGNUAUAAUUGGGUGCGCAGGCGGCCUGAUAAGUCAGGNGUGAAAUAUGACGGCUCAACCGUCAAACUGCCCCUGNAAACUGUCCGGCUUGAGUUCGAGAGAGGUAGGUGGAAUUCCAGGUGUAGCGGUGAAAUGCGUAAAUAUCUGGAGGAACACCGGUGGCGAAGGCGGCCUACUGGCUCGAUACUGACGCUCAGGCACGAAAGCAUGGGGAGCGAACGGGAUUAGAUACCCCGGUAGUCCAUGCCGUAAACGAUGGGUACUAGGUGUUGGAGGAUUCUACCCCUUCAGUGCCGCAGCUAACGCAUUAAGUACCCCACCUGGGGAGUACGAUCGCAAGGUUGAAACUCAAAGGAAUUGACGGGGGCCCGCACAAGCGGUGGAGCAUGUGGUUUAAUUCGAUGCAACGCGAAGAACCUUACCUGGGCUUGACAUGCAGGGGGACAGAUGUAGAAAUACAUCCUUCUUCGGACUCCUGUACAGGUGCUGCAUGGCUGUCGUCAGCUCGUGUCGUGAAAUGUUAGGUUAAGUCCUGCAACGAGCGCAACCCCUAUCUUUAGUUGCCAUCAGGUUAUNCCUGGGGACUCUAGAGAGACUGCCGGUGACAACCGGAGGAAGGUGGGGACGACGUCAAGUCAGCAUGGCCCUUACGCCAGGGCUACACACGUGCUACAA